rnacentral:rRNA from 1 species
AUGCUGGAUCGCCUCACCCUCCAUGACGAUGAACUAGAUGACCUUGUCUGGGAAGAUGAACCUGACACGGAAGAAGUAAGGCCCAAGUGGUUGGCUCUGUGCCGCCUUCUGACAUCUAAAUCCUUUAGCCAGAGCGCUCUGAUCGGAGAUAUGAAGGCUGCUUGGAACCCGACUCAGCCGGUGGUAUGGCGGAGGAUUAAUUCAAACUUGUUUUCCAUACAGUUCAACUGUCUUGGUGACUGG